ACUCCGCCGGGUGCUGCGCGCGUAACCGCUCGUACAUCGUGGACCUGAGCAUCGACUCGUACGGUGGCGCCGACGACACGCCACCGGGGCGUAGCUUGGUCGGUUCGCCGGCCGGCUGCUUCUUGUUAGUCUCCGUGGAGGUCGGUUCGCCGGCCGGCUGCUUCUUGUUAGUCUCCGUGGAGGUCGGUUCGCCGGUCGGCUGCUUCUUGUUAGUCUCCGUGGAGGUCGGUUCGCCGGUGGUUCCGUUCAUUUUCGCGUUAUUUCGGAUGGUGACGUUUCAGAACUGGUGGGUGGGUGG
rnacentral:lncRNA from 1 species